AGAAGCCCGAAACGCGGCCGCCGCCGCCCUUGAGGUGACGGAGGAAAGUCCGGGCUCCACAGAGCGGAAUGCUGGCUAACGGCCAGUGGGGGCAACCUUAAGGAAAGUGCCACAGAAAAUAGACCGCCGAUGGGGCAACCCUUUAUGGGGUUGUUUACAGGCAAGGGUGAAAAGGUGGGGGCCAAGGGCCUUAAUGUAAGAGCCCACCGCGGCCCUGGUGACAGGGUCGGCAGGGUAAACCCCAUUCGGAGCAAGUCCAAAUAAGACGGCGAUAAGGGUGGCUCGCCCAGCCGUCGGGUAGGAUGCUAGAGGCGGAUGGCAACAUCCGUCCCAGAUAAAUGGUCGCGGCCCCCUUUCUUAAAGGGGGAACAGAACCCGGCUUAUUGAAGGCUUCUUCCC
rnacentral:RNase_P_RNA from 1 species